GGCAGGCCUUCUGGCUAAG
rnacentral:miRNA from 1 species